GUCGGACAGUGGUAACUAGGUGCAGUUGUACAGGUUAAGUUUGGUUUGGACGUUCAAGGGUGAAGCGUUUCAACAGCAAUGAAAGAAACCGCGUUGCCACGUACAGCAGAAUGGAGAUAUGGGCAAACCAUGAGGGACAUACAACAUGCUAGAAGAAAAAGGGAAGCAGAGAGGGCGAUGCUGUUUAUGGGACAUCCUUACGCUAUGCGAAAGAAGUUACUGCGAGGAUCGACUCGUUUGAAGGAAGAACGGCGGGAAAUCAAGGACAAAAAAACCGCGGA